rnacentral:rRNA from 1 species
AGAAUCAACGCUGGCGGCGUGCCUAACACAUGCAAGUCGAACGAGAAAGUGGAGCAAUCCACGAGUAAAGUGGCGCACGGGUGAGUAACACGUGACUAACCUACCCUUGAGUGGGGGAUAACCUAGGGAAACCUGGGCUAAUACCGCAUAAUACCUUCGGGUCAAAGGAGCAAUUCGCUUAAGGAGGGGGUCGCGGCCGAUUAGUUAGUUGGCGGGGUAAUGGCCCACCAAGACUGUGAUCGGUAUCCGGCCUGAGAGGGCGCACGGACACACUGGAACUGAAACACGGUCCAGACUCCUACGGGAGGCAGCAGUGGGGAAUUUUGCGCAAUGGGGGAAACCCUGACGCAGCAACGCCGCGUGGAGGAUGAAGCCCCUUGGGGCGUAAACUCCUUUCGAUCGGGAAGAUAAUGACGGUACCGAGAGAAGAGCCCCGGCUAACUUCGCGCCAGCAGCCGC